GACGAACGCUGGCGGCGUGCUUAACACAUGCAAGUCGAACGGAAAGGCCCUGCUUUUGUGGGGUGCUCGAGUGGCGAACGGGUGAGUAACACGUGAGUAACCUGCCCUUGACUUUGGGAUAACUUCAGGAAACUGGGGCUAAUACCGGAUAGGAGCUCCUGCUGCAUGGUGGGGGUUGGAAAGUUUCGGCGGUUGGGGAUGGACUCGCGGCUUAUCAGCUUGUUGGUGGGGUAGUGGCUUACCAAGGCUUUGACGGGUAGCCGGCCUGAGAGGGUGACCGGCCACAGUGGGACUGGGAUACGGCCCAGACUCCUACGGGAGGCAGCAGUGGGGAAUAUUGCACGAUGGGCGGAAGCCUGAUGCAGCAAUGCCGCGUGCGGGAUGACGGCCUUCGGGUUGUAAACCGCUUUCGCCUGUGACGAAGCGUGAGUGACGGUAAUGGGUAAAGAAGCACCGGCUAACUACGG
rnacentral:rRNA from 1 species